AGAGUUUGAUCCUGGCUCAGGACGAACGCUGGCGGCGUGCCUAAUACAUGCAAGUCGAACGAGAAUUUCUUACACCGAGUGCUUGCACUCACCGUAAGAAAUUCGAGUGGCGGACGGGUGAGUAACACGUGGGUAACCUGCCCAAAAGAAGGGGAUAACAUUUGGAAACAAAUGCUAAUACCGUAUAACCAUGAUGACCGCAUGGUCAUUAUGUAAAAGGUGGUUCUGCUAUCGCUUUUGGAUGGACCCGCGGCGUAUUAACUAGUUGGUAGGGUAACGGCCUACCAAGGUGAUGAUACGUAGCCGAGUUGAGAGACUGAUCGGCCACAAUGGGACUGAGACACGGCCCAUACUCCUACGGGAGGCAGCAGUAGGGAAUCUUCCACAAUGGGCGCAAGCCUGAUGGAGCAACGCCGCGUGAAUGAAGAGGGUCUUCGGAUCGUAAAAUUCUGUUGUUAGAGAAGAAUAUGAGUAAUAGUAACUGAUUAUUCACUGACGGUAUCUAACCAGCAAGUCACGGCUAACUACGUGCCAGCAGCCGCGGUAAUACGUAGGUGGCAAGCGUUGUCCGGAUUUAUUGGGCGUAAAGGGAACGCAGGCGGUUUUUUAAGUCUGAUGUGAAAGCCUUCGGCUUAACCGGAGAUGUGCAUUGGAAACUGGAAGACUUGAGUGCAGAAGAGGAGAGUGGAACUCCAUGUGUAGCGGUGAAAUGCGUAGAUAUAUGGAAGAACACCAGUGGCGAAAGCGGCUCUCUGGUCUGUAACUGACGCUGAGGUUCGAAAGCAUGGGUAGCGAACAGGAUUAGAUACCCUGGUAGUC
rnacentral:rRNA from 1 species